rnacentral:rRNA from 1 species
GUCGAACGCCAUGGUUUCGGCCAUGGAGUGGCGCACGGGUGAGUAACGCGUGGGAACCUGCCCGGCAGUACGGGACAACCGCGGGAAACUGCGGCUAAUACCGUAUACGCCCGAAAGGGGAAAGAAUUUCGCUGUCGGAGGGGCCCGCGUCGGAUUAGGUAGUUGGUGGGGUAACGGCCUACCAAGCCUGCGAUCCGUAGCUGGUCUGAGAGGAUGAUCAGCCACACUGGGACUGAGACACGGCCCAGACUCCUACGGGAGGCAGCAGUGGGGAAUAUUGGACAAUGGGCGAAAGCCUGAUCCAGCAAUGCCGCGUGAGUGAUGAAGGCCUUAGGGUUGUAAAGCUCUUUCGGCGGGGACGAUGAUGACGGUACCCGCAGAAGAAGCCCCGGCUAACUCCGUGCCAGCAGCCGCGGUAAUACGGAGGGGGCUAGCGUUGUUCGGAAUUACUGGGCGUAAAGGGCGCGCAGGCGGCUGCUCAAGUCAGGCGUGAAAGGCCUGGGCUCAACCCGGGAAUUGCGCUUGAGACUGAGCUGGCUUGAGUGCGGGAGAGGAUGGUGGAAUUCCCAGUGUA